UCCUCUCUCUAGACGCCCUGGUGAACACAGAGGCCUUUGAAAGAGGGUUUGGCGCAGGAAACUGUCGUGAAAGAAUCAUUUAAUUGUGGAGUACAUAGCUACAGACCCAGGAGUGGUUCAUGUUGGAAGAUGUCCCCAGUGUAUUGAGAAGUGGCGGCACCUUUAAGGAGUGGAGCCCAGUGGAGGGUGGAAAGUUCGAGGAGUUAAAAGUUCCAGGCCCGUGCUUCCUGCGUGACUUCAGUGUGC